rnacentral:rRNA from 1 species
UACGUAGGGGGCAAGCGUUGUCCGGAAUUAUUGGGCGUAAAGCGCGCGCAGGCGGUCAUUUAAGUCUGGUGUAUAAACCAAGGGCUCAACCUUUGGACGCAUUGGAAACUGGGUGACUGGAGUGUAGGAGAGGAAAGUGGAAUUCCACGUGUAGCGGUGAAAUGCGUAGAGAUCCGGAAGAACACCGGUGGCGAAGGCGGCCUGCUGGGCACUAGCUGACGCUGAUGCGCGACAGCGUGGGGAGCAAACAGG